GGGUUAAGUCCCGCAACGAGCGCAACCCUUGUCUUUAAUUGCCAUCAUUGAGUUGGGCACUUUAAGAGACUGCCGGUGUUAAACCGGAGGAAGGUGGGGAUGACGUCAAGUCCUCAUGGCCUUUAUGCCCAGGGCUACACACGUGCUACAAUGGGUGGUACAAAGAGCGGCCAGCUCGCGAGAGUGAGCAAAUCUCAAAAAAGCCAUCCUCAGUUCGGAUUGAAGUCUGCAACUCGAGGGCAUGAGGGCGGAAUCGCUAGUAAUCGCGGAUCAGCAUGCCGCGGUGAAUACGUUCCCAGGCCUU
rnacentral:rRNA from 1 species